GACGAACGCUGGCGGCGUGCUUAACACAUGCAAGUCGAACGAUGAAGCCCAGCUUGCUGGGUGGAUUAGUGGCGAACGGGUGAGUAACACGUGGGCAACCUGCCCCAAACUCUGGGAUAACUCCUCGAAAGAGGUGCUAAUAACGGAUACGAACUAGAAAGACCUCUGUACUAGGUGGAAAGUUUUUCGGUUUGGGAAGGGCCAUCGGCCUAUCAGCUUGUUGGUGAGGUAACGGCUCACCAAGGCUACGACGGGUAACCGGCCUGAGAGGGCGACCGGUCACACUGGGACUGAGACACGGCCCAGACUCCUACGGGAGGCAGCAGUGGGGAAUAUUGCGCAAUGGGCGAAAGCCUGACGCAGCGACGCCGCGUGAGGGAUGAAGGUCUUCGGAUCGUAAACCUCUUUCAGUAGGGACGAAGCGAAAGUGACGGUACCUAAAGAAGAAGCACCGGCUAACUACGUGCCAGCCGCCGCAGUAA
rnacentral:rRNA from 1 species